UACGUAGGGGGGCAAGCGUUGUCCGGAUUUAUUGGGCGUAAAGAGCGUGUAGGCGGCCAGGUAGGUCCGUUGUGAAAACUCGAGGCUCAACCUCGAGACGCCGAUGGAAACCAUCUGGCUAGAGUCCGGAAGAGGAGAGUGGAAUUCCCGGUGUAGCGGUGAAAUGCGCAGAUAUCGGGAAGAACACCCGUGGCUAAGGCGGCUCUCUAGUACGGUACUGACGCUGAGACGCGAAAGCGUGGGGAGCGAACAGG
rnacentral:rRNA from 1 species